rnacentral:rRNA from 1 species
AUACGGAUGGUGCGAGCGUUGUUCGGAAUUACUGGGCGUAAAGGGCGCGUAGGCGGCGAUGUAAGUCAAAUGUGAAAGUCCUCGGCUUAACCGGGGAAGUGCAUCUGAAACUGCAUUGCUUGAGUAUGGGAGAGGAAAGUGGAAUUCCCGGUGUAGAGGUGAAAUUCGUAGAGAUCGGGAGGAAUACCGGUGGCGAAGGCGACUUUCUGGACCAAUACUGACGCUGAGGCGCGAAAGCGUGGGGAGCGAACAGGAUUAGAUACCCUAGUAGUCC